GUUGUAUGGUUAAGUGACUAAGCGUACACGGUGGAUGCCUUGGCAGUCAGAGGCGAUGAAAGACGUAGUAACUUGCGAUAAGCCCAGAUUAGGUAGUAACAACCAUUUGAGUCUGGGAUUUCUGAAUGGGGAAACCCACGUGCAUAAGCACGUAUCCUUACCUGAAUACAUAGGGUAAGGAGGCGAACCGGGGGAACUGAAACAUCUAAGUACCCCGAGGAAAAGAAAUCAACCGAGAUUCCGAAAGUAGCGGCGAGCGAAAUUGGACUAGCCCUUAAGCUUUACACGCGUUAGACGAACGGUCUGGAAAGUCCGACGAUACAGGGUGAUAGUCCCGUAGUUGACGACGUGUGUUCAGUGAAAUCGAGUAGGGCGGGACACGUGAUAUCCUGUCUGAAUAUGGGGGGACCAUCCUCCAAGGCUAAAUACUACUGACUGACCGAUAGUGAACCAGUACCGUGAGGGAAAGGCGAAAAGAACCCCUGUGAGGGGAGUGAAAUAGAACCUGAAACCGUGUACGUACAAGCAGUAGGAGCAGGCUUUGUCCUGUGACUGCGUACCUUUUGUAUAAUGGGUCAGCGACUUAUAUUCAGUGGCAAGGUUAACCAUCUAGGGGAGCCGUAGGGAAACCGAGUCUUAACUGGGCGUUCAGUCUCUGGAUAUAGACCCGAAACCAGGUGAUCUAGCCAUGGGCAGGUUGAAGGUUGAGUAACAUCAACUGGAGGACCGAACCGACUAAUGUUGAAAAAUUAGCGGAUGACUUGUGGCUAGGGGUGAAAGGCCAAUCAAACCUGGAGAUAGCUGGUUCUCCCCGAAAGCUAUUUAGGUAGCGCCUCGGACGAAUACUACUGGGGGUAGAGCACUGUUAAGGCUAGGGGGUCAUCCCGACUUACCAACCCUUUGCAAACUCCGAAUACCAGUAAGUACUAUCCGGGAGACACACGGCGGGUGCUAACGUCCGUCGUGGAGAGGGAAACAACCCAGACCGCCAGCUAAGGUCCCAAAUUACUACUAAGUGGGAAACGAUGUGGGAAGGCUCAGACAGCCAGGAUGUUGGCUUAGAAGCAGCCAUCAUUUAAAGAAAGCGUAAUAGCUCACUGGUCGAGUCGGCCUGCGCGGAAGAUGUAACGGGGCUAAGUAGUAAACCGAAGCUGCGGCAAUAUACUUUUGUAUAUUGGGUAGGGGAGCGUUCUGUAAGCGGUUGAAGGUGUGUGGUAACGCAUGCUGGACGUAUCAGAAGUGCGAAUGCUGACAUGAGUAACGAUAAAGGGGGUGAAAAACCUCCUCGCCGGAAGACCAAGGGUUCCUGUCCAACGUUAAUCGGGGCAGGGUAAGUCGACCCCUAAGGCGAGGCCGAAAGGCGUAGUCGAUGGGAAACGGGUUAAUAUUCCCGUACUUCUUACAAUUGCGAUGGGGGGACGGAGAAGGCUAGGUGGGCCUGGCGACGGUUGUCCAGGUUCAAGUGCGUAGGCUUAAGAGUUAGGUAAAUCCGGCUCUUUUUAAGGCUGAGACACGACGUCGAGCACCUACGGGUGUGAAGUCAUUGAUGCCAUGCUUCCAGGAAAAGCCUCUAAGCUUCAGAUUGUAAGGAAUCGUACCCCAAACCGACACAGGUGGUCGGGUAGAGAAUACCAAGGCGCUUGAGAGAACUCGGGUGAAGGAACUAGGCAAAAUGGUACCGUAACUUCGGGAGAAGGUACGCUCUUGAUGGUGAAGUCCCUUGCGGAUGGAGCUGACGAGAGUCGCAGAUACCAGGUGGCUGCAACUGUUUAUUAAAAACACAGCACUGUGCAAAAUCGUAAGAUGACGUAUACGGUGUGACGCCUGCCCGGUGCCGGAAGGUUAAUUGAUGGGGUUAGACUUCGGUCGAAGCUCUUGAUCGAAGCCCCGGUAAACGGCGGCCGUAACUAUAACGGUCCUAAGGUAGCGAAAUUCCUUGUCGGGUAAGUUCCGACCUGCACGAAUGGCGUAAUGAUGGCCACGCUGUCUCCACCCGAGACUCAGUGAAAUUGAAAUCGCUGUGAAGAUGCAGUGUACCCGCGGCUAGACGGAAAGACCCCGUGAACCUUUACUACAGCUUGGCACUGAACAUUGACCCUACAUGUGUAGGAUAGGUGGGAGGCUUUGAAGCACGUACGCUAGUAUGUGUGGAGCCGUCCUUGAAAUACCACCCUUGUAGUGUUGAUGUUCUAACGUCGACCCCUUAUCGGGGUUGCGGACAGUGCCUGGUGGGUAGUUUGACUGGGGCGGUCUCCUCCCAAAGAGUAACGGAGGAGCACGAAGGUGGGCUAAUCACGGUUGGACAUCGUGAGGUUAGUGCAAUGGCAUAAGCCCGCUUGACUGCGAGAAUGACAAUUCGAGCAGGUGCGAAAGCAGGUCAUAGUGAUCCGGUGGUUCUGAAUGGAAGGGCCAUCGCUCAACGGAUAAAAGGUACUCCGGGGAUAACAGGCUGAUACCGCCCAAGAGUUCAUAUCGACGGCGGUGUUUGGCACCUCGAUGUCGGCUCAUCACAUCCUGGGGCUGAAGUCGGUCCCAAGGGUAUGGCUGUUCGCCAUUUAAAGUGGUACGCGAGCUGGGUUUAGAACGUCGUGAGACAGUUCGGUCCCUAUCUGCCGUGGGCGUUGGAAGAUUGAAGGGGGCUGCUCCUAGUACGAGAGGACCGGAGUGGACGAACCUCUGGUGUUCGGGUUGUGUCGCCAGACGCAUUGCCCGGUAGCUAAGUUCGGAAUCGAUAACCGCUGAAAGCAUCUAAGCGGGAAGCGAGCCCUGAGAUGAGUCUUCCCUGAUACUUUAAGUAUCCUAAAGGGUUGUCGGAGACUACGACGUUGAUAGGUCAGGUGUGUAAGUGCUGUGAGGCAUUGAGCUAACUGAUACUAAUUGCCCGUGAGGCUUAACCAUACAACACCCAAGGGGUUU
rnacentral:rRNA from 1 species